rnacentral:rRNA from 1 species
UCGAGAAUCAUUCGCAAUGGGCGAAAGCCUGACGAUGCGACGCUGUGUGAGCGAUGAAGGCCUUAGGGUUGUAAAGCUCUUUCGCUUGGGAACAAGAGAGGUCGUCUAAUAAACGGCUAAUUUGAGGGUACCAGGUAAAGAAGCACCGGCUAAUUCCGUGCCAGCAGCUGCGGUAAUACGGAAGGUGCAAGCAUUAAUCGGAUUUAUUGGGCGUAAAGGGCGCGUAGGCGGGUUAGCAAGUUAGAUGUGAAAUUUCGGGGCUCAACCCCGAAGCUGCAUUUAAAACUACUUAUCUUGAGGGUAGGCGGAGAGAAUGGAAUUCCACGUGUAGCGGUGAAAUGCGUAGAUACGUGGAGGAACACCGGUGGCGAAAGCGGUUCUCUAGCUUAUUCCUGACGCUGAGGCGCGAGAGCAAGGGGAGCAAACAGG